GACGAACGCUGGCGGCGUGCCUAAUACAUGCAAGUUGAGCGCUGAAGGUUGGUACUUGUACCAACUGGAUGAGCAGCGAACGGGUGAGUAACGCGUGGGGAAUCUGCCUUUGAGCGGGGGACAACAUUUGGAAACGAAUGCUAAUACCGCAUAAAAACUUUAAACACAAGUUUUAAGUUUGAAAGAUGCAAUUGCAUCACUCAAAGAUGAUCCCGCGUUGUAUUAGCUAGUUGGUGAGGUAAAGGCUCACCAAGGCGAUGAUACAUAGCCGACCUGAGAGGGUGGUCGGCCACAUUGGGACUGAGAAACGGCCCAAACUCCUACGGGAGGCAGCAGUAGGGAAUCUUCGGCAAUGGACGAAAGUCUGACCGAGCAACGCCGCGUGAGUGAAGAAGGGUUUCGGAUCGUAAAACUCUGUUGGUAGAGAAGAACGUUGGUGAGAGUGGAAAGCUCAUCAAGUGACGGUAACUACCCAGAAAGGGACGGCUAACUACGUG
rnacentral:rRNA from 1 species